GGCGGGGUAGCCAAGUGGGAAGGCCGCGGUCUGCAAAACCGCUAUGAGCGGGUUCGAUUCUCGCCCCCGCCU
rnacentral:tRNA from 1 species